rnacentral:lncRNA from 1 species
GUGCGGUCUGUGCGACUGGUGGAGUGGGCACUGGGCUCCCCAACCAAGCAGCUACUGCCCUGUGAGAUGGCCUGCAAUGAGAAGCUCGGCAAGUCCGUGGUAGCCCAAGUGAAAAUCCCAGCAGGCACCAUCCUGACCCUGGACAUACUCACUGUGAAGGUGGGGGAACCCAAAGGCUAUCCUCCUGAAGACAUCUUCAACCUGGUGGGCAAAAUGGUGCUGGUCACUAUUGAAGAAGAUGACACGGUCUUGGAGGAAUCCGUCCAAAGUCAAAGCAAGAAAAUCAAGGCUUAAAAUAAAGUGCCACUCCGGGCUUCUCGGCCACCCUGAAAAAAAAAAAA